rnacentral:rRNA from 1 species
AGGGUGUAAACGCUGCGGGCUUGGUGUUGGGGGUCCUUUGAGGGCGCCCAGUGCCGGAGAGAAGUUGUUAAGCCUGCUGCUUGGGGAGUACGUCCGCAAGGAUGAAACUUAAAGGAAUUGGCGGGGGAGCACCGCAACGGGAGGAGCGUGCGGUUCAAUUGGAUUCAACGCCGGACAACUCACCAGGAGCGACGGUUACAUGAAGGCCAGGCUGAUGACCUUGCCUGAUUUUCCGAGAGGUGGUGCAUGGCGUAGACGUCU